AACGAACGCUGGCGGCAUGCCUAACACAUGCAAGUCGAACGAGACCUUCGGGUCUAGUGGCGCACGGGUGCGUAACGCGUGGGAACCUGCCCUUAGGUUCGGAAUAACUCCCCGAAAGGGGUGCUAAUACUGGAUAAUGUCUUCGGACCAAAGAUUUAUCGCCUUUGGAUGGGCCCGCGUUGGAUUAGCUAGUUGGUAGGAUAAAAGCCUACCAAGGCGACGAUCCAUAGCUGGUCUGAGAGGAUGAUCAGCCACACUGGGACUGAGACACGGCCCAGACUCCUACGGGAGGCAGCAGUGGGGAAUAUUGGACAAUGGGCGAAAGCCUGAUCCAGCAAUGCCGCGUGAGUGAUGAAGGCCUUAGGGUUGUAAAGCUCUUUUACCCGGGAUGAUAAUGACAGUACCGGGAGAAUAAGCUCCGGCUAACUCCGUG
rnacentral:rRNA from 1 species